UAUUUGAAGAGUUUGAUCAUGGCUCAGAUUGAACGCUGGCGGCAGGCCUUAUACAUGCAAGUCGAACGAGAAAGUAUCUUCGGAUACGAGUAAAGUGGCGGACGGGUGAGUAAUACAUAGGAAUCUACCCAGUGGAGGGGGAUAGCUCGAGGAAACUCGAAUUAAUACCGCAUAAUCUCUACGGAGUAAAUGGGGGCUUCGGCUCUCGCCAUUGGAUGAGCCUAUGCAGGAUUAGCUUGUUGGUAAGGUAAUGGCUUACCAAGGCGACGAUCCUUAGCUGGUUUGAGAGGAUGACCAGCCACAUCGGGACUGAGACACGGCCCGGACUUCUACGGAAGGCAGCAGUAGGGAAUAUUGGACAAUGAGCGAAAGCUUGAUCCAGCCAUGCCGCGUGUGCGAUGACGGCCUUCGGGUUGUAAAGCACUUUAGGUAACGAGGAAAAGUUAGGUGUUAAUACCAUCUAAUCUUGACGUUAAUUACAGAAUAAGCACCGGCUAAAUCCGUGCCAGCAGCCGCGGUAAUACGGAUGGUGCAAGCGUUAAUCGGAAUUACUGGGCGUAAAGCGCGCGUAGGUGGCAUACCAAGUUAGAUGUGAAAUCCCAGGGCUUAACCCUGGAACUGCAUCUAAAACUGGUAAGCUUGAGUACUAGAGAGGAAAGUAGAAUUCUUAGUGUAGCGGUGGAAUGCGUAGAUAUUAAGAGGAAUACCAAUGGCGAAGGCAACUUUCUGGAU
rnacentral:rRNA from 1 species